rnacentral:sRNA from 1 species
GCCAGGCAUGGUAGCACAUGCCUGUAAUCCCAGCUGCUCCAGAGGCUGAGGCAGGAGGAUGGCAUGUUGAAGGAAGCCUCAGCACCUUAGUGAGAUCCUGCCUCAA